rnacentral:rRNA from 1 species
GUCUUUUAGAUUAUAAUUUAAAGUCUAACCUGCCCUAUGAAUAAUUAAAUGGCCGCAGUAUUUUGACUGUGCAAAGGUAGCAUAAUAAUUAGUUUUUUAAUUGAAAGCUGGAAUGAAAGGUUGAACGAAAAAAUAUCUGUCUCAAUUUAAAUUUAAUUAAAAUUUUAUUUUUUAGUAAAAAAGCUAAAAUAUUUUUUAAAGACGAGAAGACCCUAUAGAGUUUUAUAUUUAAAAUUAAUAAUUUUUUAGAAUUUUUUCUUAAUUUAUAAUAUUUUAUUGGGGUGAUAAAUAAAUUUAAUUAACUUUAUUUUUUUAUAACAUUAAUAUAUGAUUUGUUGAUCCAUAAAAAUGAUUAAAGAUUAAAUUACCUUAGGGAUAACAGCGUUAUUUUUUUUAAGAGUUCUUAUCGAAAAAAAAGAUUGCGACCUCGAUGUUGGAUUAAAAUUUAUAUAUGGUGUAGAAGCUAUAAAAUUAGGUCUGUUCGACCUUUAAAAUUUUACAUGAUCUGAG